GGGUUGACCCGUCUCUCUCUCUCCUCCUCCUCCUCUCUCUCUCCCCCGCAGCCAUCUUCUGUGCCGCUCUCCUGCCGAUUCCGGCCAUUCCAGACGGCAAGACCGCCACCAAACUCUUCCUCUUCUUCUCAUCUACAAAACCUAGUCCAUAGAUCACACACGCAACCCAAUUCAAAGGAGACUGAAUGAAAAGAAGAGCUCGGCUAUGUUCUGCAUUUUCUGGUGACCGAUUCACGUCCAUGUGCCAAUAACACUGACGACGGCUCCGAGUUCCAUCCGGCCGUCGACCAUUGGAUUGGCCACCUUCUCCUUGAGCCUCAGAAGUCUGGGAAAGAAGAGGCUGAAAGGAGAAUUGGGCAGAGCUACUGCGUUGGUGGUAGAGGAAUGAACCUCAGGUUCAUAUCCUCUUUUGGUUCAUUUGGCCGCAAAUUGCUGAGUCAUUCUUUAGAGAGGCUGAGAUCAUUUUUAGGAUUUUGAUAUUAAGGUGAGUAGCUGCUGAGUUUACAAAUUUGGUUUAUGGCUUUGGGUUAGUUUCUCACUCAUGGUUGAUGUAUGAAAUUGGCAAGGUACGUUGGCGAUGAAAGUGUUAAUGCAGCUAAACACCUUUUGGGUGCUGAGAGUAAAUUAUAGAGUUCCAUUUUGAGCUUUUAAAUGAGGUGAGGGUGAACUUUAUUUUGGAAGUUUGUUGGUAGCUAGACACAUACAAUACAAUUUUGCAAAAUAUGUAGAGCUAUAAAAAUUAUAUUGAUUGAUGUAUUGUCUAUUGGGUACAAAGUAAUGGUGUUUUUUCAUUGUGAUGCUUAACAUUUCUUGCCAAUAAGAUUUUUCAUUUUCUGCAUUUGAUCAGAUAAUCAUUCAAUGUAAUUUUUUUUACUAAGUUAAGAUACCAGAAAUGUGAGGCCAUAAAGAACAACCGGCAAUGUAAAUGUAGAGUUUAAAUCAAAAGAAGACAUCACUUAUAUAUCGCUCAAGCUCAUUCAUACAAUAGACAAAUGUCGCCUGAAAAUGUCGAAAACCUAAAAG